rnacentral:rRNA from 1 species
AGUGAACGCUGGCGGUAGGCCUAACACAUGCAAGUCGAACGGCAGCACAGUAAGAGCUUGCUCUUACGGGUGGCGAGUGGCGGACGGGUGAGGAAUACAUCGGAAUCUACUUUUUCGUGGGGGAUAACGUAGGGAAACUUACGCUAAUACCGCAUACGACCUACGGGUGAAAGCAGGGGAUCUUCGGACCUUGCGCGAUUGAAUGAGCCGAUGUCGGAUUAGCUAGUUGGCGGGGUAAAGGCCCACCAAGGCAACGAUCCGUAGCUGGUCUGAGAGGCUGAUAGGCCGACCGGGCACAGAGAGACGGUCCGAAGUCCAAGGGGCGGAAGCGGUGCAGAAGUUUGGACAAUGGCAGAAUGCCCGCAAGACCCAUGCCGCGUGGGUGAAGGAGGCCUUGGGGUUUUAAGGCCCUUUUGUUGGGAAGGACAAGCAGAAGCUUCAAACACCGCUGUUGUGACGGUACCCAAUGAAUAAGCACCGGCUAACUACGUG